rnacentral:rRNA from 1 species
AACGAACGCUGGCGGCAGGCUUAACACAUGCAAGUCGAACGCCCCGCAAGGGGAGUGGCAGACGGGUGAGUAACGCGUGGGAACGUACCCUUUACUACGGAAUAACUCAGGGAAACUUGUGCUAAUACCGUAUGUGCCCUUCGGGGGAAAGAUUUACCGGUAAAGGAUCGGCCCGCGUUGGAUUAGCUAGUUGGUGGGGUAAAGGCCUACCAAGGCGACGAUCCAUAGCUGGUCUGAGAGGAUGAUCAGCCACAUUGGGACUGAGACACGGCCCAAACUCCUACGGGAGGCAGCAGUGGGGAAUAUUGGACAAUGGGCGCAAGCCUGAUCCAGCCAUGCCGCGUGAGUGAUGAAGGCCCUAGGGUUGUAAAGCUCUUUCACCGGUGAAGAUAAUGACGGUAACCGGAGAAGAAGCCCCGGCUAACUUCGUGCCAGCCGCCGCGGUAAUAC